AACGAACGCUGGCGGCAGGCCUAACACAUGCAAGUCGAGCGGACAUCUUCGGAUGUUAGCGGCGGACGGGUGAGUAACGCGUGGGAACGUGCCCUUUGCUUCGGAAUAGCCUCGGGAAACUGGGAGUAAUACCGGAUGUACCCUUUGGGGGAAAGAUUUAUCGGCAAAGGAUCGGCCCGCGUUGGAUUAGGUAGUUGGUGGGGUAAUGGCCUACCAAGCCGACGAUCCAUAGCUGGUUUGAGAGGAUGAUCAGCCACACUGGGACUGAGACACGGCCCAGACUCCUACGGGAGGCAGCAGUGGGGAAUCUUAGACAAUGGGGGAAACCCUGAUCUAGCCAUGCCGCGUGAGCGAUGAAGGCCUUAGGGUUGUAAAGCUCUUUCACCAGGGAAGAUAAUGACGGUACCCGGAGAAGAAGCCCCGGCUAACUCCGUG
rnacentral:rRNA from 1 species